rnacentral:rRNA from 2 species
UACGUAGGGGGCAAGCGUUAUCCGGAUUUACUGGGUGUAAAGGGAGCGUAGACGGUUCUGCAAGUCUGGAGUGAAAGCCCGGGGCUCAACCCCGGGACUGCUUUGGAAACUGUGGGACUAGAGUGCAGGAGAGGUAAGUGGAAUUCCUAGUGUAGCGGUGAAAUGCGUAGAUAUUAGGAGGAACACCAGUGGCGAAGGCGGCUUACUGGACUGUAACUGACGUUGAGGCUCGAAAGCGUGGGGAGCAAACAGG